UGCUAUUCGGAUUUUGUUCCUCAUUGCAGCCUCUUCAUUGGGAAAAGUGUGCGGGAUACGAUUUCGAUAAAUGUGCCCCACCCGUGAGCAUGGAAGGAUUUCAACAGAACCACCACAGAGCCAUGCCUGUAACACAGAUGAAGACAAAAAAGGGGUCUAAGAUGGUGUAUCCGCUAUGCGGGCAGUACAUCGCUAUCAACACCAUUUAGCAAAUGACCUUCAGUGCUAUGCAAACAAAACUUCUGCACCACCUGGAAUGGGCUCAGCCAAUCAGGAAACCAGAACCAAGCCAAUCACAACCACCAAACCAGAUCUGGGAGAGCAUUGGAUUGUUAUUGAUUGGAACUCAUGCAAAGAUUCAGACAUCAGAAAGGCUGUAUAUAACCUGGGCAGUUGCUGAGUCACUUUCUGUAGCUGAUGAAGUGCUCUCCUACACUAAAGCACUUUCUUUUACAGCUAAAGUGAGUGAGUGACAACUUAAUUAGUGCACAGUGAAGAAGAGAGGUGGGUGUUUCAUGAGUCAGUGAAACUUUGUUUUCUGCUUCACUUUUGUAUAAGGAGGUGAAUAUGGAUUCAGUUUCACAGUUCCUCAUCUGCUUCAUUAAUUCAAGUUUAUUAUAUUAAUGCCUUGCACUUCCAUACCAUCUCAAAGACUUUAGGAAAAAUAAUAAUGUAACUCCCCCCGCCUCCUCACCAUCAGAUAGAUGGCA